AAAACCCUAAUUUUGUUCAUCGCCGACAAGCAAAUCUACCACCAUCUCUUUCGAUUUCAUUAACAUCUGCAUUGUUUUGGGUUUUAUCUCAUCUUUUGUGACAAACAAUCUAUGGUGCUGAGUUGAUUGAUUCAGUUCUAGAUUUCCAACGAGCGAUGAUUGAAGUAGAGAUCUCUAAAGCAAUGGUGUGGUAACUCAAGUGGCGGCGGCGGCGGUGGUGGUGGUG